UACAGGGGGUGCAAACGUUGCUCGGAAUCAUUGGGCGUAAAGCGCACGUAGGCGGUUCGUUAUGUCGGAUGUGAAAGCCCUUGGCUUAACCGAGGAAGUGCAUCCGAAACUGGCGAGCUAGAGUACUAAAGAGGAUCGCGGAAUUCCCGGUGUAGAGGUGAAAUUCGUAGAUAUCGGAAGGAACACCGGUGGCGAAGGCGGCGAUCUGGGUAGAUACUGACGCUGAGGUGCGAAAGCGUGGGGAGCAAACAGG
rnacentral:rRNA from 1 species